CGCGUAGGCGGCUUUGUAAGUCGGAUGUGAAAUCCCCGGGCUUAACCUGGGAACUGCAUUCGAUACUGCAUAACUAGAGUAUGGUAGAGGGAAGUGGAAUUCCGGGUGUAGCGGUGAAAUGCGUAGAUAUCCGGAGGAACACCAGUGGCGAAGGCGACUUCCUGGGCCAAUACUGACGCUGAGGUGCGAAAGCGUGGGGAGCAAACA
rnacentral:rRNA from 1 species